GCCGAGCUUGGUAACGCUUGCUUGUAACCUGUGUGGGGGCUUCAAGAUGAUGGAACAUGGGGCUGGCUUGCAGAAUCGGAUCUGGAGUUGGUCCAAAUCUGGCUUGCCUGUUCCAAGCUAAGAGCUGAACCGAGGGGCUUGAGUGAAAACUUUGAGUCUCGUGGUUCCUAAAGUGGAGGGUACUGCGUGAGGCUGGUUUCACAGAGCAGCGAAGACCUCCCUCUCUUAGCAGUGGAAGGAUAACAGGCUUGAUCCUCUCUAAUUCAACAUUGGCUCAGUGAGCUGAUCCUAACUGGACCAUUACCUUU
rnacentral:SRP_RNA from 1 species